rnacentral:rRNA from 1 species
CUUAACUGACGCUAAAGCUCGAAAGUGCGGGUAUCGAACAGGAUUAGAUACCCUGGUAGUCCGCACGGUAAACGAUGGAUGCCCGCUGUUGGCGAUAUAUUGUCAGCGGCCAAGCGAAAGCGUUAAGCAUCCCACCUGGGGAGUACGCCGGCAACGGUGAAACUCAAAGGAAUUGACGGGGGCCCGCACAAGCGGAGGAACAUGUGGUUUAAUUCGAUGAUACGCGAGGAACCUUACCCGGGCUUGAACUGCCAGCGAACGAUACAGAGAUGUUGAGGCCCUUCGGGGCGCUGGUGGAGGUGCUGCAUGGUUGUCGUCAGCUCGUGCCGUGAGGUGUCGGCUUAAGUGCCAUAACGAGCGCAACCCCUCUCGCCAGUUGCCAUCAGGUGAUGCUGGGCACUCUGGCGACACUGCCACCGUAAGGUGUGAGGAAGGUGGGGAUGACGUCAAAUCAGCACGGCCCUUACGUCCGGGGCUACACACGUGUUACAAUGGGUGGUACAGAGAGUCAAUCCCCAGCAAUGUGGAUUCAAUCCUUAAAGCCAUCCUCAGUUCGGAUUGGGGUCUGCAACCCGACCCCAUGAAGCUGGAUUCGCUAAUA